rnacentral:rRNA from 1 species
UACGGAGGGUGCGAGCGUUAUCCGGAUUUAUUGGGUUUAAAGGGUGCGUAGGCGGCUUAGUAAGUCAGCGGUGAAAUUUUGCAGCUUAACUGUAACAGUGCCGUUGAUACUGCCAGGCUAGGAUUUGGUUGCUGUGGGUGGAAUGUGUGGUGUAGCGGUGAAAUGCUUAGAUAUCACACAGAAUAUCGAUUGCGAAGGCAGCUCACAAAGCCAAGAUUGACGCUGAGGCACGAAAGUGUGGGGAUCAAACA